rnacentral:lncRNA from 1 species
AGAAACAGGCAGCCUGACUAGAGAACAAACUACCAAUUAACGAGCGAGGAAACAGGGCCAGAGAAUUGGAACAAAAUACAAGGCUGCCUCUGAAAGGAAUAUCUUUGUGCUGAUGUGUCCAUCAAGAGAACAUACACAGAAGUGACACUUGCCAGUAAUUUGCAAGCAGAUGGAACUUCAAUAUGGCAAUAGAGAAAGAAUCAAUUAGACCAGAGUCUCCUCAGGAAGACUUUCUAUAGGUGGACGGUCCCCUGGAGAGCCCGCUGUGUUGGAAGAUGUAGAAUAUUCAUAUAUCUGGUGAGCAUCUGCUAGAUGCCAGGGUUGGGGAGAGUCAAGUUGAAGCAAGCAUGAACCCUCAAGGACCUACCAUUUCAAGGCAAGAAAUAGAUACAAAUACAGUUGAGAGCCAUCUGUGAAGUUAAUUUCAGCACUGUUUACUCUUUCCUCCUAAAUCACUAAUGAAGAUGAAACAUUCAAUGGAAUUGAGCUUUGCACCCCUUUCUGGGAAAUUCCACCGAGGCUUGCUCUUGUUUCAGUUUUCAAGCAGCAAAAGCAGUUUGUGGCAAUUUGCAAGACUCUGGCAAACCACCUGCACCUUUCAAACUAAAGAUUUUGAACUGUUUGGUCUCCUUCGUAAUUAUCUCUCCAAUUAAAGAGCAACCAAGGGACAACUGAACUGGAGGUUCUGCAGAAUUACAACUAAGCACGCAGCCGAGGAAUCUACUCAGCUUUGAUCUCUUAUCGCUCUGCACACACAGCCCUUUCUCUGUAAGGCUAGCUGCUCUCAGCAUCACUGUGUCUAAUCAAACGUGUCACACCUCCACUGAGAAAAUAUUUACUGGAUAGCUACUAGACAUAAGGAUGCAGAAAUGAAUUAGAAAAAUUCCUCGCCCUUGUUCAAAGCUAUGCUGGCUCUUAGAACAUCUGAGCCCCCACUGUUUCAUCUUUAGAGGAUCCCAGCUGCUGGGGUGUGAGGCCAGUGCUGGAGCCAGCAGUCUCUGACCCAGAAGGGACCUGAGGUGCUAAAGAAAAGGGUACAAGCUGGAAAAGGGGAAAAUGAAUCAUGCUACAGGCCAAGUGUCCAUCACUGAUUCCCAGAGAUGCCCUUUGUGUGGUAGGCACUUCCAUGUGGACUCGCUACAGAGGUCAUAAGACCCUAAUUCCAGAGGGCCCUACCCUAUAACCAGAAGGAAGAACUAUUGCACAGAGAAUCUAAGAAGAAUCUAGACAGACAGCCCUUGCUGGAUUUCUCCACUCUGUUAGCAUUCGAUCAUUUGCCUUUUGUCCAGUCAUAUUUCUGCAUGGCUGUCCAUACUUUGUUGAACCUAAGCACAAAAUGGAAAGUUUUCCCUGUAUCUUUGGGUCGUCAUUCUGAAGGCUCCCAUGUUAUGUAAAACUAUGAUCAAAUAAAUAUGCAUGCCUUUUCUCCUAUAA